UUAUUUAUUUCUUUAUUCAUUUAUUUGGCAAAUAUUUAAUACUCGCUGGAUGUAAAACAACAGCAACAACAACAAUAACAUGGCCUGGCACUGUGCUAACCACUACAGUGAAAGAACAGAUACAGUUCUCCUCUUUAUAGAUCACACAGUAUCGUGGAGGAAACAGGUAUUAUUUCUUUUAUUUAUGUAAUACUCGCAUAAUCUCUGCUAUGCACAGAGCACUGCUCUAAGCACUUUACAAAUAUAAACAGUUAAUCCCCUCCACAACCCUAUGAAGUAGGUGAUAUUAAUAUCUCUAUUUUUACAGAUGAGGAAACUGAGGCACCAGACAUUAAAAUAACUUUCCCGGGAUCACACAGCUGGGAAGCGCUUAAAUCCAGGUAGUCUAGCUCCAGCACUCAGGCCCUCAAAUGCUACAGUUAGGCUGCCUUUCAAGCAGAUAAAUGCUAAUCAAUAGACUAUCCAGAAAUGAAGACUGUGCUCGGCACUCUGAAAGAAAGCCAGGAAAGAGCAAGGGGAUUUUUCACAUUGGUUGAGAGUCAGGGUAGACUUCUCUGCAGAAGGAACAGAAAGGAGGAAGAUUGCUCCAAGCAGGGAAAAUUGCAAAAGUAAAGGCCCUUGAGUAAACAAAUCUUAGUGAAUUCAAGGACCUUCGAAAGAGGUUAGAGUCAUCAGAGGGCAAAGGGCACAUGAAGAGAUGAGGUUGCAAGGGAAAAGGGUACGCAGUGUCAGGCCAGACUCAAUUUUGUUUGGUGGUUCUCAAAGUAAAGUGGAAAAAAGGGCCGAUCUUUAGGAAAACAGCCAUAGGAAAUAGAAUGAUCAAGUAGGGGAGCUUCAUGUUUUCAUUUUGAGAAGGGCCCCUGAUAUGAUGUGGCUCUGCUUCCCCACCGAAAUCUCAUCUCAAAUUGUAAUCCCCAUAUGUUGACGGAGGGACCUGGUGGGAAGUGAUUGGAUCAUGGGGGUGAUUUUCCCCAUGCUGGUCUCGUGAUAGUGAGUGAGUUCUCACCAGAGCUGGUGGUUUUAAAGUGUGGUACUUCCUGUCUCUCCUGCUGCCUUGUGAAGAAAGUACUUGCUUCCCCUUUGCCUUCCACCAUGAUUGUAAGUUUUCUGAAACCUCCCCAGCCAUGCAGAGCUAUGAGUCAAUUAACCCUCUUUUGUUUAUAAAUGACUCAGUCUCAGGCAGCUUUUUAUAGCAGUGUGAGAAUGGACUAAUACAACCCCAUAGCACAUUUCACAAAUGUCUAAUCCUCACAACCACCCUGGAAGGAAACAGAUCAGAUAGAUUUAACCCCUUUGCGAUAUCCCACCCACCUUCCUAAUGCCUGUCCCCUCUCCUGUGUUUCUGCUGGUAUAAUCUCAGUUUUGUUCUGGGAAACCUAUGUCUAGCCCCACACAAAUACCCCUGUCCUAGCCUGCCCUGUAGCCAGGGGUGGCCUUGUACACUGCCUUGGCAGAAGAGACAUCAGUGCAAAUCUGCUGGGAGUCUGGGGAGCCCUUCGCUUUUCCUAAUAGGCAUAAACUUGGGUCCAUGGGCUCAUCACCACCUCCCCUUUCUUCCUAUCUGGAGAAGGACAGGAUGUCUACAGCUGUAAAAGCCAUCAUGCAACUGUGGUGGGACAAGUAUAGGAGAAAGGCCAAGAGAUGCUCUGAGAAGCUGACCCUGAACCAAUGCCGGCAGCCACCCACAGCUAGACUUCUUGCUAUGACUUCGUUUCAGCAUUUUUAAGUUUUAGGGCUUGCAUUCUCUACCUAAAUGAAGCAUCUGUUUUUAUUUAUUUAUUUAUUUUUUAUUUUUCCAAGACAGAGUUUCACUCUUGUUUCCCAGGCUGGAGUGCAAUGGCACGAUCUUGGCUCACGGCAACCUCCACCUCCCAGGUUCAGGUGAUUCUCCUGCCGCAGCCUCCUGAGUAGCUGAGAUUACAGGAGUGCACCACCACGCCCGGCUAAUUUUCACAUUUUUAGUAGAGACGGGGUUUCACCAUGUUGGUCAGGCUGGUCUCGAACUCCUGACUUCAGGUGAUCCACCCGCCCCAGCCUCCCAAAGUGCUGGGAUUACAGGCAUGAGCCACCACGUCCAGCCAAAACACCUAUUUCGCUACAAGCAAACUAAGGAUGAGGAAAUAUCAGACUUGCAAAAACAUCACAGAGCGGAUUUAAGACCAGGUACACCUGACUCCACAUCCAGCGCUCUAUCUACUAUAUUACAAAUAAAUUCUUGUUUGCCUUAGGGAUUUCUAUGCAUGUUCAAACUUUCCGGGCAUUACACUCACCAAUCCCGGAAACUGUGUUGCACAGAGCCCCUUCUGGACAGGCAUGAUUUGGGUCAGUGAACCCAUCCUCCUCUGGUUACCAGAGCCAAUAGGGUCAAUGCACCGUCUAGCUGAAAGCCAGUGAUAUUGUCUGCUCCAAAAGAUGUGCUGGCCAAAUAAAAGUCUCUCUUGCAGGGAUUUGAAUUACGUCAUUCUGGGAGAUUAAGAAAGGAGACAAUGGGACCCAAAGUAGGAAGAAAAUGGUGCCGUGUGCUGGGACUAAAAGCAGCAAAACCGUGUUGCCACCCCGUGGUCUUAAGAGGAAGAAAGGAGGAGCUCCAAGGAAAAACACAGCAGACCCAUCGCUGGGAAUCAGGUCCCACCAGCCUCACCUUAGGCCCGCAUCUUUCUCCAGCAGAGGCAGUUCAUUCCAGUAGCAGCAGUUGAAUCCGGUGUGCAGUUUUCCCAGCACGCACAGAACUAGCUUCAUUGUGCCUUCUUGGAGACCCCAGCAGCAGCCAACCAACACCCACUCCUCAGCCAGUCACAGCCCCGUGGAGCCCCACUCCAAGCUUGGGGACAGCAGCAGCAGCUGAAUGGCAGCCUCCUUCUCAGAUGUCUGCAUCUCUGCUCUAUGGGAGCCCUCACAAGUUUCAAUAAUGUCAUCCUCUUCUCUUUGUUUCCCCAGCCCCAGGAACGAUAGGUUCUUUCUGCUGUGGCAUUGCCGCAAUUACUUGGUGUUCUCUUUGGGGCACAAAAUGAAAGAAUCCUGGGUCUCUGAAUCGUGAUACAGAGGAAAGCUACCCACCAACCCAGGACACAUUUACCGAACUGUUAUAUGAGCAAGAAAGACAUUUUGAUUGUGUAAAAUCACCAAAAUAUGGAUCCUAUUUUUUACAACAAUGAACUGCACCUAUUAUGCCUGAAGAACAUUUUAAAACAUGUUUCUAGACUCCAUCCAAAACCAGAAUCUUCCAGCACUGUCUAGUAAUCUAUCAUUUUAAAAUGUUAUUCUUCCUGGUUUGGAAACCACAGUCUAAAUUGCCCUGAGCGUAUACUUAUUAACAUUCACCAGGUAGCAACUACCCAAAGCAUAGUUGUGGUACUUAGAAGGAAUUCAUCUAUAGCUCAAGAAUUAACUUCGUAGUUUUUAACUGCUCUUUUUUUUAGAAAUGUCACAAAAAGACUGAGUUCAGAGAAGAUCAGCAUGAAGUGAGCUGUGGAAGUUUUGCUAUUCCCAAAAGAAAAGGGCUUUCAGAUAUCCUGAUUGUCUGCCAGCAUUGACUGCCUCUGAAAAAUCAGUGUCUUUGCCAACUAUGUGACAGACACUGGGCAGAUUUACAGGAUGAGAGACAAUUGCUGGGGCUCCUUUCUAUUCUGUUAAAAAGCCCUGACCCAGAGAACUCAGGACUUUCUGGCGCAAAAUGGUCUGAUACAGAUUUUGUUGCUGUCUCAGAUUCACGCACUUGCUUUGGUUCGUAUGGCUAUUUUCAGGUGACAGCAGUAAUUAAGGCAUGUACUUGGUGAUAGGCAUCUUCUUGCAUGGGUCACCCCACAGGGUUUGAUUCCCAGGCCAACUGGCAAGAUUUCUGAAAGCAAGUGACAGCUUGUAAGAGGGGUGAAGGAAAAGGCAGAGCUGGCCGGGUGGCUGUGUCCUAUGACAAAGGAUUACAGUUAAUGGUGCUGAGGUCUGGCAAGCACCACGACCCUGCCUGGCUCCCAAGCUGCUCUGUCUAAAUGAUCAUUGUUGAUUAUGUGUCUAUACCUAGGCAAGAGAGUGGGACAGCAUGACAGAAAGCAGCUUCUUGACAGGCUCCAGAAAAUUUCCUUUAUAAGGGCUUUACCUUUAAUAGAGAACUCGAGAGGUCAAAAAUGUUAUAUUAAUACUUUGUCUUCAGACAGGCUGCCCAUGUAAACAGUUCAUGCUGCUAGACAAAACGAGUCUUAGGAAGCUUAAGGGCAUGUUUCCACAGCAGCCUGGUAUGCCUAAAUUAGCAGUAAUUAUGUCUAAAGAGAGAAGCAUAGUUUAAAAGAAUUAUGGCUAUGACUUUUGGCACAUGGAAUGGAAUGGAAUCAAAUCUUUUUUUGUUUUUUAGUUUCUUUCUUUCUUUCUUUCUUUCUUUCUUUCUUUCUUUCUUUCUUUCUUUCUUUCUUUCUUUCUUUCUUUCUUUCUUUUGAGACAGGGUCUUGCUGUGUUGUCCAGGCUGGUGUUGAACUGCUGGCAUCAAACAAUCUUACUGCCUCAGCCUCACAAAGUAUGGAUUGCAGGCAUGAACUACCACACCCAGCCAAUUUUGGAGUCAAAUCUAAAAAUCUUUGGGUAUUUCAAAACCCACAAAGGUUUCUAGUUUAUUGACAAAAGCACUUAGAGCCUGGCCUAAGACAGACAAGGAUUAUUUGAAAUGUAAAACCACUCUUGAGACCCCAAGUAGGAAACAGGCAGUGAAUGCAGCUAAGCCACCAAAAAUGACCUGUUUUACAAUGCCCCUGUAGAAAUGAGCAAGGGAGAUGAUGAGAACAAAAGGAUCUUCCAAAAAGCAGAAUCAGAAAAAUAGAUUAGAGAACUAUUCCCAGGGAGCAGAACCUGGGCUGAAUCAAGAAAUGUUACCUCUUUCCAGAGCAAGGAAACUUGGUAACAUUGACCUAGGAGGUUUCAGAAUUGCUAUGGAUCAGUAAAUGCAUUGCACCUCACAUCUUUCCCCUGUUGAAGGGGAGUAAUUAUCCUGUCUCUGGUUUACCUUGAAUUUCUGGUGUAUGUGGGGCAAUUAAUUAGACUUUUUAGUUCAUAGAUCUUUUUAUCCUACAAUUUGAGAUAUUCCCUGUGGUUAGCAGAAUUUUAAAGAUGUCCUCCCAAAAUUCCUGUCACCUGGUUAUUCAAUCAAAUGCUAAUCUAGUUAUUGUCAUCAAGUGACUUUACAGAUGUAAUUAAGAGUACAGCUCACCUUAACACAGGGAGAUUAUCUUGUAUUAUAUGGGGCUCAUCCAGCCUAAUCAGAUGAACCCUUUAAAACAGAGAAUUUUCUCUGUCUGAAAGCAGAAAUGAGGCAGAAGGGGAGUUGAGAGAGGCUUAAAACGUGAGAUGCUGGCUAUGAAGAUGAAGAGGGCCAAGGAAUGCAGGCAGCUUUUACAAACUGAGAACAGGGAGCUCUUGAGCCAGGUGUGUUGGCACACAAUUUAAUCCCAGCUACUUAGGAGGCUGAGAUGGGGGUAUGACAUAAGCCCAGCAGUCUGAAUCCAGCCUGGGCAACCUAGUAAGACCCUGUCUCUAUUUUAGUAAAACAAACAAACAAGAAAACCCAGGGAGCUCAGUUCUAUAACUGCAUGGAACUGAAUGCUGCCAACAACUGAAUGAGCUUGGAAGUGGAUUGAGCCUCCAGAAAGGAGUGCAUCCCUGCCAACACACUGAUUUCAGCCUUAUGAGACUCUAAACAGAUGGCCCAUCUGAGCCAUGCUGUACCUGGACUUCUAACGUAGAGAACUGCAAGAUAAGAAAUUGGUAUUAUUUUAAGUAACUAAAUUUGUGAUUAUUUGUUAUGGCAGCAAUAGAAAGCUAAUACACUCCCUCUCCCAUAAAUGAACUUCAAGAAAGAGGCUUUAGGUCUAGUCGGUUCACUUAAAACUCAACAGAGCUGCAAAUUUAGAUUAAGAAAGAUGGGUUUACAACCCUAUCCCUACAUGGCGUAAGAAAGAUCCAAGAAACACUGAAUAAGUCACAAUUCUGGUCUCAGCCACUAAAAUAAAGCCUUCCGCUGUUGUUAUUAAUAUAUGAGAACUAUGAAGUCUUUAAAUUUGGGGAGAUGGCAUAAAGGUAAAUAUGUUGGCAGAUGAGAUUGUGUACAACUGUCAGAUCUAUAUGUUUAUGAGGAACUGAAGAGCAGAAUUUGAAACAAAUUGCUUGAAUUACAUGAAGCCCACCACAGUGGAAAAAGUACCAUGUAAAUAUCUCUAAGCCUCAUUUUUCCUUCCCUUUUUAACAGAGAUAAAAGUAUCUCCACCACAGAUUAUAUAUCUUGCUCUGUAAGGUGAGCCUAACCAUAUUUAUCCAACUUGAGUCAUCCAAUUAUCACUUUUGUAAUUUUUACCAUAUCUUCAUGCUACCUAUUCUAUUUACCUAAUAUUUAACGCAAUUUGUAUUUUUUGUACUUUUUUUUGUGUUUUUGUUUGUUUAUUUUUGAGACACAGUAUCACUCCAUCACCUAAGCUGAAGUGCAGUGGCGUGAUCUUGGCUCACUGCAACCUCUGCCUCCUGGGUUCAAGUGAUUCUGAUGCCUCGGCCUCCUGAGUAGAUGGGAUUGCAGGCAUGCACCACCAUGCCCGGUUAAUUUUUGUAUUUUUAGUAGAGACAGGGGUUUCAUUCACCAUGUUGGCCAGGCUGGUCUUGAAUUCCUGGCCUCAAGUGAUUCGCCCACCUCAGCCUCCCAAAGUGUGGGGAUUACAGGCAUGAGCCACUGUACCUGGCCUCUUUGUGCUUUUUAAUGCACAAUAAAAUAAUCACAUAGCCAUUAAAAUGUAAAAUCUUCAUUUGUGCAAUUCCUAAAAUCAUUUCCCGUACUAUUCUUUGAGAAAUCAUAAACUAAGAUGAUCAUAAUUCAGUAAACAAUAGACAAUCUUAUACAAAUGAAAAUGUUGAGGUAUAUAUUUUCAAGUAUUAUUCAGGAAGUUCAUUUGGGGAUAAUAAUUUAAAAACAAAACAAAACAAAAACUUCCAGGGCCAGAUAUAUAUGUUCAUAGUUUCCUGAUUAACUAAGGUUUGUACAUGCAUUUGUUAAACAGAUACCUCAUGAGCAUAUAGUGUCUGUUAAACACUACAUGGCUCUUGAAACACAAAAAUGAACAAAGCAGAUCUGCAAAUCCUGCUAUCCUCUGCAAAUCACAGCCUAGUGGAAUAAUAGAAAUUCAGUAAGAAAUUACAUGAACAAUUAUUUAAUUAUAAAUGUUUCAUGAGUGGCAAAAAUCUUGCAUUUCUAUAUAUUUGGAACCAUCUCCCCAGUUAUAUUAAAGGUACACUAACCUUAACAUUUUGUGGUAGUUCAAACCAUGACUGCACAUGUUUUUGACACUCAUUCUAUUGAGUAGUUACAUCAGUGUCUCCUUCUCUUGAAUCUGGGCUGGCCUUAGAAACUCACUCUUAGCCAAUAGAAUGCAGCCAAUGAUGCUAUAUGACUUCUUGAGUCUAGGUGUAUCAGUCAUCUCUUGUUUCACAAUAAAUUACCCCAAAACUUAUUGGCUUAAAGUGAUCAAUAUUUAUUACUCACAGUCUCUAUGGGUCAAGAUUUGGGGGAUGGCUUAGCUGGCAAUUCUGACUCAGAGCCUCUUACAAGGUGUCAGUCAAGGUAUCAGCCUGGGCUGCAGUCAUCUGAAGACUUGACUGAGGUGGGAAGAUGGGUUUCCAAGAUGGCUCGCUCACAUGGCUUCUGGUGGAAGUCUUCAGUGGGUUUCUGGCUAACGACAGGGGGCUCAGUUCCUUGCCCUGGGGUACUCUUCAUAGGAUUGCUUGACUAUCACAGGAGCUGGCUUUUCCCAGAGCAAGUGACUCAAGACAUAGCAAGAAGGAAAUCAUAAUGCCUUUAUAUCCUCAUCUUGGAAAUCAAAUAUCAUCACUUCCGCAUUAUUCUACUUGUUAGAAAUGAGUCACUAAGUACAGUUCACAUCUGAGAAAGGAGAAUUAGGCUACAUCUUUUGAAGGAAGAGUAUCAAGGUAUUUGUGGAUCUAUUUUAAUACCACCAUACUAAUCAUAAAAAGUGAUGUAGCUUCCUGGUUAGGAAGAUGUAGCAACCUAAUCUUGCUGGCUAGGCAGAUGUUGCAUAAAACACCUUCUCCCUAAAUUGCCAUGUAAAAUGUCCAAAAAUUCUAAGGCUGCCAUGCUGUGAGGAAGCCCAGCCCACAUGGAGCGACCACAUGUGGGUACACCAGUUGACAGCCCCACUGAGAUCCCAGCCAAUAGUCAACGUCAACCACAAGAAAUGGGAGUACUAUGGACUGAAUGUAUUCCUCCCAAAUUCAUAUGUUGAAAGCUAAUCAAUCUUCAAUGUGGGAGUAUUUGGAGGAGGGGCUUUUGCAAGGUAAGUAGGUCAUGACAGCAGAGCCCUCAUGAACGGGAUUAGUGUCUUUAUAAGAAGAGGCCACAGAGAGAUCCUUCACCCCUUCUGCCAUAUGAGGUUACAGCAAAAAGAUGGCUAUCUAUGAAGAAGUGGGAAUCACCAAACACUGAACCUACCAAUGCCUUGAUCUUGGACUUUUCAGCUUCCAGAGCUGUAAAAAUAAGUUUCUGUUGUUUAUAAGCCAUCCAGUUUAUGGUAUUUUGUUAUAACUGCCCCAAAGGACUAAGACAUUGGGCAAAGAUGCCUACAGAUGAUUCUAGCCCCAGCUGUUGAGACACCUUCAGCCAUCCUCUCCGUGAGCCAUUGAAUCUUCUCAGCUUCCCAGAUACAAGUCAUCACUAAUUUUAGGAUCAGAUGCCUCUUCUUAACAUAGCUUCAAAGGGGACACAGCAUAGCACAGUGAUUAUAUGCAGAAGCUCUGGAUUUCAGGGUCAGUGUCAACUCUCUCUUGUGCUGCUUCCAGCAACAUGACCUUGGGCAAUUUGCUUUAAUUCUCUAAACCCCAGGUUCUUCAUCCUUUAGUUACGAAAACAAAAGUGAGUAGGUGUUGUUUCGAAGACUGAAUGGAGUAAUGCAUUCAAAGUUCUCAGUACAUAAUUUAUGCUAGGUGUUGGUAUUAUUUUCACUAUUAUCAUUUUUAUUUUCAUUAAAUCUGCUUCUCUUCCAGGAUUUCCCAUAUUAUUGGUUUAUGUCAUGAAAAUCCUAAAUCACCCUCAGGCUCAAAAUUAAAACUAAAACAACAAAAAAUUUUCCACUCUUCCUUCUAUUUCACCAAAUAUUUAUAAUAAAUUUUCAAGUUCCAUUGAUUCUACCUCCAUAGUUUCUGUUAUCCUUCCACCCUCAAAGCCAAUUAAGGGAUAGGCCAGGAGGAAGUGGCCCCGGGACACCAGCUGAAAUGGAAAGUAAACAGCACCAGGAACACUAGCACAAUGGAGGAGCAGGUAUUUACCAGAAGAAGAGUGUGAACAUAGUUGGAAGGAAUGCUUGGUUAAGUCAGUAGAGGUAAAGUCAUGUGAUAAGUCCCCAUCAAAAGACUGUGAGUGGAAAUGUUUUGUGCAACUUCUGUCUCACCUGUUUAAAGGAAAGGACUUGCCUGGACUUAUUCCCUUUUCUCCUACCUGUGAUCUGGAACACGAAUAUGCCUCUGCUUGACUUUGACCAUGGAGAAGAAAAAAUAUUUUAAAGGAUGGUGGAGUAAUAAGAUAAAAGGCACCUGGUUCCCUG
rnacentral:lncRNA from 1 species